UCACUUUUUUGGCCUUCACUACUGCUAUAAGCUCAUGUUUAGUGGCUCACUAGCAAAACCCACCUGCAAAACUCUCUCCAUUGUCUCUCUUCUCCUUUCUCCUUCAUCACCCUCUUGUUAUUACACUUUUUUAACUAAACCCUCAAUUCUCUUUCAAUCUCGCUCUCCUCUUUGUCAAGACAUUCCAUUAUUAUCUCUCACUGUUUUAUCUUUUGGUAUGGAAGGAGUUUAAGCUCAAGAUUUUUAGAUAUAAAAAUUUUGUAAGUAGUAAUCAGUUUACAUAUAAUUUAUAUAUACCGCUGAGUUUAUUUGUUGAAGUACUAGAAAAAUGACAUUAGUUUUCUUCACUCUUGAUAAUUAAUGUCUACUACUAGCAAAAUUUCUUCCCCUACUAAUCUUUUACUAUCAUUGUCCUUUUCAGGUAGACUUCUGCCAAGUCUUUUUUCUCAGGUUUUCUUCUCAUGGCCACCUUAAUUGCCUUGUAGAAUCUAAACACCAGUUCACUUCAAGGGGCCUAUUUUUUUAUUAAAAAUAAUUGAGUUUCAAGGAAAAUAGGGUCAUUUUUUCAUAUGGGUUGAAACAAAAAUUGAAAGUUUCAGAUCAUGGGGUCAUUAAUAGUCAUGGUUACCUAAUUUUGUAGCUUGUUUGUUUCCAACGAGUGGACAAGUAAGUG
rnacentral:lncRNA from 1 species